rnacentral:rRNA from 1 species
CAGUAGCCGCGGUAAUACGUAGGUGGCAAGCGUUGUCCGGAAUUAUUGGGCGUAAAGGGCUCGCAGGCGGUUUCUUAAGUCUGAUGUGAAAGCCCCCGGCUCAACCGGGGAGGGUCAUUGGAAACUGAGAAACUUGAGUGCAGAAGAGGAGAGUGGAAUUCCACGUGUAGCGGUGAAAUGCGUAGAGAUGUGGAGGAACACCAGCGGCGAAGGCGACUCUCUGGUCUGUAACUGACGCUGAGGCUCGAAAGCGUGGGGAGCAAACAGGAUUAGAUACCCCCGUAGUCCCUGUCUCUUAUAC